GCAGCAGUAGGGAAUCUUCCACAAUGGACGCAAGUCUGAUGGAGCAACGCCGCGUGAGUGAAGAAGGUUUUCGGAUCGUAAAGCUCUGUUGUUGGUGAAGAAGGAUAGAGGUAGUAACUGGCCUUUAUUUGACGGUAAUCAACCAGAAAGUCACGGCUAACUACGUGCCAGCAGCCGCGGUAAUACGUAGGUGGCAAGCGUUGUCCGGAUUUACUGGGCGUAAAGCGAGCGCAGGCGGAAGAAUAAGUCUGAUGUGAAAGCCCUCGGCUUAACCGAGGAACUGCAUCGGAAACUGUUUUUCUUGAGUGCAGAAGAGGAGAGUGGAACUCCAUGUGUAGCGGUGGAAUGCGUAGAUAUAUGGAAGAACACCAGUGGCGAAGGCGGCUCUCUGGUCUGCAACUGACGCUGAGGCUCGAAAGCAUGGGUAGCGAACAGGAUUAGAUACCC
rnacentral:rRNA from 1 species